rnacentral:misc_RNA from 1 species
UCAGCGUCCACAGUUGAUCGCAUUGAAUUUUACUUGUUCAAAAACCAUGGCUGUUACGAGUGUGAAUCUUUCCACGUGCAUGUGGCAGCUACGGUGAUAAAACGAUAAAAGUAUUUAUCCCAUUUAUCGAAAAAAACUCUUUUACGCGUGAUCAGAAAUUUUUCGAAGGAGAACUUUCAAAAGUCGCAGAAUAAUUUUAAUUACUUAAAGUAUGGUGAAUAACGACGAAAAAGUAUUCAAACGUCGAGUGUUGAAAUUACUUUCGCGUAAAAGGAGUUAUGGUUUGCUUCAACAAGAAAUGCAGCAGUUGGCUAAAGGAAGUGCGGAGAUGACAGAGGUGUACCGGCGAUUUUCCGGAAUAAAAAUUCAGCCAGAUUUAGAAGAUCCAAAGAACGACAAUGUCAAAGUCGUGGCACCAACGGUCAUCGCUAAAGAUUACGAAACAAACGCGAGGUUGAUGGAAGCCAUGUGUAAAAACAUAUUCCUGCGAAAUUUCGACAAGUCUUUCAUUCAAGCGUUCAUCGAUGCCAUGUACCUGCAAACGAUACCAGCGGGUACGCGCAUUAUCCGGCAAGGCGACUGUGGAGGUCCACAAUUGUACAUUUCCGAGAGCGGAACCUUCGACGUGUAUCACGGCAACAAGUACGAGAGCAGCUUCGGAGCCGGUGUCGUGUUCGGCGAAUUAGCCAUUCUGUACAACACAAAAAGAUCGAGAUCAAUCGAUGUUAGACAAGGUGCCGAGGUUUGGGUCUUGGACAGGAGCGCCUUCGAAGCGGCCAUCCUGAAGGAAAACGUCACGAAACCCAACGAAACGAUCGAUCAAUUGCUGCAGAUUCCCGUAUUGGUGACGUUGCCGAGGCAUAUUUUAACCAAAGUCAGCCAGCUCGUCGAAACGGAAUUUUUCGAGGAAGACUCUAGCAUUAUCAGGCAAGGAGCGCCCGCGACCAAGUUUUUCAUCAUAAUCGGCGGCUCUGUGGCGCUGAGCCGCCGCGAAAGUGCCGAGGAAAGCCCGAUCGUCGUUGGAAAAGAGCACUACUUUGGCGAGCAGGCGUUCUCCGGUGACGAGGACGAAGUCUACGAUGUCACUGCCACCGCGCUCAAGCCAGGCGUCGUUUGUUUGACUCUCGAAACUAAAGCUUUGCUCGAUUGCCUGGGUAGCCUCGAUCUCAUUCAGAAAGACAAGUGGAUGUCGGAGCUUAGGACUAGAUCCAACUCGUACUCGAUCGAGUGGACCAACAAAUACCCGGAUCUGAACGUGACGGAUUUUAAAUACAUCGAGACCCUUGGCGUGGGAGCCUUUGCUCGGGUCGAGCUCGUUACAAUUCCAAACGUACUCGGCGAGAGUUUCGCCUUGAAGACGGUGAAGAAGAGUCGCGCCGUCGAGCUCGAGUGCGAAAAGUACUUCCUCGGCGAGAAGAAGAUUAUGCAAUUCUGCAAUUCACCGUUCGUGUGCAGGCUUUAUCAAACUUAUAAAGACGACACGUAUAUUUACUUCUUGAUGGAGGCCUGUUUGGGAGGCGAUUUAAGUACUUACCUGGCGCGCCACGGACCCUUCGACAACACACCGGCCAAAUUCGUCAUGGCUAAUAUUGUCGAGGCUAUAGCUUAUCUGCAUAAUCACGGAAUAGUAUACAGAGACCUCAAGCCAGAUAACGUCGUGAUCGAUAGCCACGGAUAUCUAAAACUCACAGAUUUUGGCUGCAGCAAAAUGAUUGGGUUGGACAAAACAUGGAGUUUUGUGGGAACUCCAGAGUACAUGGCACCAGAGAUACUCUUUAACAAACCAUACGAUAGGGCAGUCGAUUAUUGGUCGAUGGGAGUACUGAUGUACGAAAUAUUGCUCAAGGGUAUACGGGGGUGUACUUCGAAAGCCCGCGGAGAAUCUCAUUCGUAGUCUCUUGAGAACUGAUCCGUCCCGAAGAUUGGGCAACUUGCGCGCUGGCACCGCAGAUAUUCGCAAGCAUAAAUGGUUCAAAGAUUUUGAUUGGGACUCAAUACAAGAUAUGUCGCUACCUUCUCCGGUUAUUCCAAC